CAAACAGGGUGUCUCUAACUGUUGCAAAUUACAACUCCCAGCGUGCUUGGACAGCCUUCAUAUUCAGAAAUCAUGGUUUAUAAAGAGAAGACCACUAGGGGUUCCUAUACUAUCCAGAAUAUAAUCCUGUCCAACUGCUGUAUCAUCUUUGUCCCAGCUGAAGCACAGGCAGGAACAGCACAGCACAGCAGACUCUGAGAAAGUGAAUGCAUGUUCAAUGUCAGAUUCCCACCACUGGGACACACAAAACUGAACUGUGCCAACAUCCCUGCCUUCGCUUUUAGCAAUCUGCUGGAGUCAAAGGAUAAGGUCCCUCGCAGCAAGUGGAGAUAACUGGCACGUCAUUGAACAGGAGGCAUCACACGUACUGUACUGACUUGA